rnacentral:rRNA from 1 species
CCUACGGGGGGCUGCAGUGGGGAAUAUUGCACAAUGGGCGAAAGCCUGAUGCAGCCAUGCCGCGUGUAUGAAGAAGGCCUUCGGGUUGUAAAGUACUUUCAGUUGUGAGGAAGGGUGUGUAGUUAAUAACUGCGCAUCUUGACGUUAGCAACAGAAGAAGCACCGGCUAACUCCGUGCCAGCAGCCGCGGUAAUACGGAGGGUGCGAGCGUUAAUCGGAAUUACUGGGCGUAAAGCGCAUGCAGGUGGUUCAUUAAGUCAGAUGUGAAAGCCCGGGGCUCAACCUUGGAACUGCAUUCAAAACUGGCGAACUAGAGUAUGGUAGAGGUGAGUGGAAUUUCCUGUGUAGCGGUGAAAUGCGUAGAGAUGGGAAGGAACAUCAGUGGCGAAGGCGACUCACUGGACCAAUACUGACACUGAGGUGCGAAAGCGUGGGUAGCA